AUUUCCUGAAGAGUCUAUUGCAAAAGCGAUAGAGCAAAAUGGAGAAAAUGAAGGUUUGGUGCUAGAUGCUCUUUUGACAUUCAAGGCACUUGAAGAUUCUCCUGAAGAACAGCCGAGUACGAGCACUCAGAUGGAACCCUGCAUUACUUCUGAUGAUAGCUCUUCCCAGUACAACGAAAACUUUUUGGAUGAUGUUUCUGAAGAUGAUAGCUGGUCCUUGGACUCGG
rnacentral:misc_RNA from 1 species